rfam:Glycine soja cultivar W05 scaffold10144_4, whole genome shotgun sequence.
UUCUUAUUGAAUGAUGACCGUCACGUGUCAUGUUCUGAUUGGAUGUCGAAUCCAUGAAAGAUGAAAUGCAUUAUUGUCAUUGACCAAUCAAAACAUGAUACGUGACAGUCAUUAUCC